GACGUAGGGUCCAAGCGUUGUCCGGAAUUAUUGGGCGUAAAGAGCUCGUAGGCGGUCUGUCGCGUCGGCUGUGAAAACUCGGGGCUCAACCCCGAGCCUGCAGUCGAUACGGGCAGACUAGAGUGCUGUAGGGGAGACUGGAAUUCCUGGUGUAGCGGUGAAAUGCGCAGAUAUCAGGAGGAACACCGGUGGCGAAGGCGGGUCUCUGGGCAGUAACUGACGCUGAGGAGCGAAAGCGUGGGGAGCGAACAGG
rnacentral:rRNA from 1 species